AGUGAUAAACAUUAUAUCGCUCGUAUAAAUUCGGUAAUAUGGUCCGAAUGUUUCUACCAGGUUCCCUUUAAAGAACCGGACUACGAGCUAGAGUUUUGAUUGC
rnacentral:ncRNA from 2 species